GAAAAAAUCUUCAAAGCGAAGAUGAUAGUAAAACAGCCCUCAUUUUUCAAAGUCCAUUCUUUUUUCUGGUCCGUGCACUGCCAGCUCACUUCUCUGGCUAAAACCCGGGGGCGGCGGGGGUGUGUGUGGGGGUUAGUUUUGCAAAAAGUACUGAUGGCACCGCUGUGCUCCAAGUUAACCAGAACACAAGAAUCGAAAAAGCCUGUGAGAUACUGGUGCUCGUGAUCGUAAGCUCCAGGUCGGGGGGUUUUCAGAUGAACACAAAAAGGGGGCUGCUCCCGUCCCAAGAUGAGUGAUAAAUGAGUCACUUCUCAUACUCGCACUCACACUCGCUCCAUUUCCUCUGGGAUGACUGUCUUCCGUCCUACCGCUGUGGCUGCUGUUAUUUGCCUGAUAAACUUCUUUCCCUCUCCCUCCCUCUGACACAGAAACACACACACACACACACACAGACACACACACACACACACAGCCCGCUGGAUCUAUAAGCAGUUUGUAACAGGAUGCACCAGUUCUAAUCACGUUUCAAGUCAAAUGAACCAGUCGCAGCUUCCUAAUAAGUGAAUGGCUGACAUAAGGAGUUAAUUCAGAAGCAGCUCAAUACUAUGGACAAUACUAGUGGACAAUAUUAGCAUACUGCUCGUACAACAAAGAUACCGUAGUCUCUGGUGCUGCCUCUUCAGGACGAAUUUGCUGAAAGUGAGUUGUAAUUAGAGAUGUUAAAAAAAACAUUGGCUGCGCGCGAUGGCUUACUCCUGUAAUCCCAGCACUUUUGGAGGCGAGGCAGGUGGAUGACCUGA
rnacentral:lncRNA from 1 species